rnacentral:lncRNA from 1 species
AUCAUCAUGGCUAAGUUUGCUUCCAUCAUCACCCUUAUCUUCGCUGCUCUUGUGCUCUUUGCUGCUUUUGGUGAGUAAUUAAUCAUCUUAUCAUAUCAAUGAAAAAUGUGUUUUUAGAUGAUAUUUUCAUAUAUUUCGAUAACUAACCAUGAGAAAUAAAUACAUGCAUCUGUAGAAGCACCGGCAAUGGUGGAAGCACAGAAGUUGUGCGAGAGGUCAAGUGGGACUUGGUCCGGAGUCUGCGGAAACAACAACGCUUGCAAGAAUCAGUGCAUUAACCUUGAGGGAGCAAAACAUGGAUCUUGCAAUUAUCGAUUCCCAUACCACAGAUGUAUCUGUUACUUCCCAUGUUAAUCAUAUCAACCAAAAAGUCCGUGGUGCUUAAACGUGUGUAUUUUACAUAUAUAAAAUAAGUCUGUGUCACUUAAGAGUGACUUGAUGACAUAUACAUGUGUUUAUGUUUUAAUGUUUGGUUUGGUUUGACUUUGUUGUUAUAAUGAUAUAAAUAUAAUUUAUGUACGACUGUUUCUUUCUUGUUAAUAUUUGUCUACAACAACCAACAGAACGACUGAUUUUUUUUAUUUUUCAAAAACAUAAAGAAUAAAAGUACACACGACCAUUAAUAUGACCGAAUUAGAAUAUGUCAAAAAAAGAAAGAAAUCACCAUUAGAUGAGACAACCAAAUUGAUGCAUGGUGGAGUAAUGAAAUGAUAAUUAAUUGAGAUCGUUGAAUGACGGUAAAAGAAGUUCCAAUAUUUUUUCCUUAAAACAAUAACUAAUAGCAAUAAUGAAUGGAAAAAAUACAUGUUUGGGGUGAAACAGGAACAAAUAAUCAAACACAAUAUAUAGCAUUUUGCUUAUGUACCCUAUUCAAUUUAAAAUUUAAAAUCAUGGAUUUUAAAAACUAAAUCCAAAACUCUAAAAAUUAUAUCUAACCCAAACAAAAAAAGGUUCUAAACCCUGCAAUGUAUGCAUUUCCUGAAUUUAAAAGAUUAGACUAUAUUUUUAAAAUUUUAAAAAUCUUGAUCUCUUAUCAUCUUUCGGUAAUUUAUUUAUGAUUACCAUUACGACGAGCAAUUAAAGGUGGUUUAGGUAUUUGAUUCCCGUUUCGCUUUUUCAGUACGUACGUAUAUUCCCAUGCAUUACGUUCAAGGCCAUGACUAAAUAAAGAAUAUUUUGUUUUGUUUAUCCAUACCCGACUAAGCUAAUUUCCCAGACCCUGCCUUCUCCGACGCCGAUCGUCUCCUUCUGUUAGUAGAGAACCAUUGGAGAAUCAUCUAGUUUACGGGUUAUAUGUGUUUCCAGGUGAAUUCUAAUGGCAAAAAUCUGGUGAGAACGGUUUCUUGUUCUGCAAGCUUGGCGUAAUGAUGCUGCCCUUGAGAUCAGCCUUUUACCAUAUCAAUAGACAGUUACCCUAACUGUGAAAAUAUCUGACUUAUCAAAAUACUCGUGUAACUACGGCUCGGUUAAGAUCUUAUUUUCUUGAGCACAUCAGAUUAGCAGCCGCCUAUGUAGAUGAUGUAUCAUAUAUAUUAGCUCAAAGCCAAAACAGCCACUUAGAUAUUAUCAGAGAAAUAUAUGUGGUGGAGAAACCAGCCUUCAACUAUGAAUAAGUCAAGAUCUUAUCAGUUAGUCAGCUACUAGCAGACACUUAGUGAUUAAUUUGUGGGGUUACGAUCCGUGAUUAUAAGAUGCACAAAUAGAAGACUAAUCCACCUUCACUUCCCUAUAAAUAGAGGCUGUUCUAAACUUUAUUUCUACACACAACACAAUACAUACAUACAUCGAAAACAAAGUAGUACCAAUCAUCAUGGCUAAGUUUGCUUCCAUCAUCACCCUUGUUUUCGCUGCUCUUGUUCUCUUUGCUGCUUUUGGUGAGUAAUCAUCUUAUCAUAUAUGAAAUAGUGUUAUAAAUCUUGUUUCAUUUAUUUUGAUAGUUAACCAUGAGAUAUGUAUACAUAUGCAGAAGCACCAUCGAUGGUGGAAGCACAGAAGUUGUGCGAGAGGUCAAGUGGGACAUGGUCCGGAGUUUGUGGAAACAAUAACGCAUGCAAGAAUCAGUGCAUUAACCUUGAGGGAGCAAAACAUGGAUCUUGCAACUAUCGAUUCCCAUACCACAGAUGUAUCUGUUACUUCCCAUGUUAAUCAACCAAACAUCUUUGGUGGUUAAUCACGUGUGUAUUUUACAUAAAAUAAGUCUGUGUUACUCUAUGAGUAACUUUAUGACAUGCAUGUUUAUGUUUUAAUGUUUGGUUGGACUUUGUUGUUAUAAUUCAUGUACCACCUAAGACUGCAUGCAGUUUCUUGUUUGGUUGGACUUUGUUGUUAUAAUUUAUGUACGACCUUUUUAAGACUAUAUUUUCUUGUUCGUAUUUGUCAGCAGCAGCCGUCACCCAACAGGACCACUCAUUUUUAUGUAUCGAAAUCGAAGUCAUAAAACUAAAGAACAUAAAGAAAAAAAAAGACACACGACCGUUAAAGACCGAAUAAGAAUAUGUCAAAAGAAAAAAAAAAUCAUCAUUCAUAGAAAAAAAUUUAUAUUCUAGGACGUUCACGUUAUAUCACCAUAGCCACGUCAAAACCCCAAUUUAAUAGUUUGAUCAGACAAUUAAUAGAGAGGGUUUUAUGACGGUACGUGGCAAGAGUUAGACAUCCAUUAUUUUUUGGAUUAAUAAGAAUUAUAGUACAUUUUCAAAAAAUAAUUGGGAAAAUAGUACAUAUAUUAUUUAUAAUUAUAAAAAUAGUCAUAUGGACCCACAAUAUGAGAUAGAAGAAAACAUGAGAUAGGAAAAACGAGAGAAAAUAAAAUGACAUGAGGGGCAAUUUUUUUUCUCUGGAUUUUGUUUUUUUUUUUCUUUUUUUUUUCUUUUUUUCUCUUACUUUUAUCACCCCAAAAUUUUUAUAACUAACAUACUAAUUUUUGUAAAAAUAAUAUCAAUAAUAUUUUUAACACAUAAAAAUGUUUUUUUCUCUAUAAUUUGAUAUGCCUUUUGCUAAUAAAUUUUAAAUUUUUUUAUAUAUAAAUAUUUAUUUGUAUAGUUUAGCAUAUGUACAAAUGUUUUUUUUACAAUAGUAUGUGUACAGACGUAUGUACAAAAAUAUCCAUACAUAAAUAUGUACAAACAUAUCCGUACAACUUAUUAAGUGUACGAAUAUAUGUAAAAAUUACUCAUUUUUAUCCGUACAGCUAGUAUAGUAUACCAAAAUAUGCAUAUUUAUAUAUAUUUGUACACUAAUAUGCUGUACGGAUGAUAUUGUGUAAUAAUAUUAUUAUUGUACAAAAACAUAAUUUUGUACGUAUGUACAAUAAAUAUGAUGUACGAAUUAUAUUAUAUAAUUAUUUUAAUGGCAGACUCGUAAAUACUAUGUUUUCUGAGUGUUUAAAUGUCCAUAAAAUAGUAGCAAAUAGUGAUAAUGUACUAGUUUCCUAAUUGUAAAUAGUGUUUGUACUAGUUUUAUAAUUAUUUUUUAAAAAUGUAAUACUUCUCCAACACACCCUUAUUUUUUUAAAAUUAUAUUUUAUUGUAGUUUCUAAUAUUGGGUAGAGAUUUUCAUAGUCUCUCAGUUAUAUUAUUUUAAUAGAUAUAUAAUUUACUUUUUACUAUUUAUUUAAAUUUUAAAUAACAAGAAAAGAUUAAAACCGAUCACAUGAUCUCUCGAAAAGUCUCAUUUGAGAAGUGGUUCUCAUAUCUCUUUUCAAUUUUUUGUUUUAUAUUGUUAAAAAAAAUGGGUGAAGCAAUUAAGAACAUAUAAACAAAAUUAUACUCAGACUCAAACGGAGGUGUCUAAAUUGCUAUAGAGAAUACUGGACGAGCUUUUACAUACAGCAGCCAUAUAUCGUUCUUUUACUUACUUCUUUUAUUUUUUGGUAUUCAUAUUUGUUUGUAUUUGGACUAACUUGUGCAUAUCAAACUAACGUAACGCACAAUAUAUAGCAUUUUGCUUAGGUACCCUGAAUUCAAAACUAAAAACAUGAAUCCUAAACUCUAAGAAAGUUACAUCUAAUCUAAAAAAGAGUUCUAAAUACAACAAAAAGAUGUAUUUUCUGAAUUUUAAAAAAUGGAUCGCUUAUAAUAUUUCCGUAAUUCCUUUGUGCUUUUAUUUUCCUUUGUAACGAAUUUACAGAUUAUACCUUAAGCUCUAUAUCCUCUAAUUUUUGAUGAAAUUCACCGUUAUGAUGAUAGUUAGAAAAUCUACCGCCGAUGAGAGCAACGCACUGAUGAAUCACAUAAUUUACGGUUAAAGGUGUCUCCCGGUGAAAUCUAAUGGCAAAAAAACUAAUAAGAACGGUUUCUUUGUUCUGCAAAUUAACUUGGCGGAACGAUGCUACGUACUCUUGAGAUCAACCAAACAAUAUGUUGAUACAUAUACACUUGCCUAACUGUCAAAAUAUCUGACAUGACAUAUAUCAAAGUACUCUUGUAACUACCGCUUGGUUAACAUCUUAUUUUCUUGAGUCUUGACCACAUCAGAUUAUGCCGCCUAUGUAUAAAUCAUUUGCUCAAAGCCAAAGCAGCCUACUUAGAUAUUAUCAGAAAAAAUAUGUGGUGGAGAAUAACCAGCAGCCAUCAACUAUGAAUAAGUCAAGUUCUUAUCUGUUAAUAUUAGCACUAGAAGACGCUUAGUGUUUAAUUUGUGGGGUUACGAUCUGUAGUUAUAGGAUGCACACAUAUACGACUAACUCACCAUCAUUUCAUUAUAAAUAGACUCUGAUCUUAAGCUUAAUUAGUUCAUCACACAACACAUCAAUACAUACAUACAUUGAAAACAACACAGUUUAAUAAUCAUCAUGGCUAAGUUUGCUUCCAUCAUCCCCCUUAUCUUCGCUGCUCUUGUUCUCUUUGCUGCUUUUGGUGAGUAAUCAUCUUUUUUUUUUAAUGGAAUUAUGGAAAUAAUGUUUUAAAUGUUAUUUUGAUAACUAACCAUGAGAAAUAUAUACACGUAUAUGCAGAAGCACCAUCGAUGGUGGAAGCACAGAAGUUGUGCGAGAGGUCAAGUGGGACUUGGUCCGGAGUCUGUGGAAACAAUAACGCAUGCAAGAAUCAGUGCAUUAACCUUGAGGGAGCAAAACAUGGAUCUUGCAACUAUCGAUUCCCAUACCACAGAUGUAUCUGUUACUUCCCAUGUUAAUCAACCAAAAAUCUUUGGUGGCUAAACGUGUGUGUAUUUUACAUAAAAUAAGUCUGUGUUACUCUCUAUGAGUAACUUUAUGACAUGCAUGUUUAUGUUUUAAUGUUUGGUUGGACUUUGUUGUUACAAUUUAUGUACGACGUUAUAAUUAAGACUCUGUUUCUUCUUGUUCGU